GAUGAACGCUGGCGGCGUGCUUAACACAUGCAAGUCGAACGGUGAAGGCGGAGCUUGCUCUGCUGGAUCAGUGGCGAACGGGUGAGUAACACGUGAGCAAUCUGCCCCUGACUCUGGGAUAAGCGCUGGAAACGGCGUCUAAUACUGGAUACGAGCUGCGAAGGCAUCUUCAGCAGCUGGAAAGAAUUUCGGUCAGGGAUGAGCUCGCGGCCUAUCAGCUUGUUGGUGAGGUAAUGGCUCACCAAGGCGUCGACGGGUAGCCGGCCUGAGAGGGUGACCGGCCACACUGGGACUGAGACACGGCCCAGACUCCUACGGGAGGCAGCAGUGGGGAAUAUUACACAAUGGGCGAAAGCCUGAUGCAGCAACGCCGCGUGAGGGACGACGGCCUUCGGGUUGUAAACCUCUUUUAGCAGGGAAGAAGCGAAAGUGACGGUACCUGCAGAAAAAGCGCCGGCUAACUACGUG
rnacentral:rRNA from 1 species